rnacentral:rRNA from 1 species
GGCCAGACUCCUACGGGAGGCAGCAGUGGGGAAUAUUGGGCAAUGGGCGCAAGCCUGACCCAGCAACGCCGCGUGAAGGAAGAAGGCUUUCGGGUUGUAAACUUCUUUUCUCAGGGACGAAGAAAGUGACGGUACCUGAGGAAUAAGCCACGGCUAACUACGUGCCAGCAGCCGCGGUAAUACGUAGGUGGCAAGCGUUGUCCGGAUUUACUGGGUGUAAAGGGCGUGCAGCCGGAGAGACAAGUCAGAUGUGAAAUCCACGGGCUCAACCCGUGAACUGCAUUUGAAACUGUUUCCCUUGAGUGUCGGAGAGGUCAUCGGAAUUCCUUGUGUAGCGGUGAAAUGCGUAGAUAUAAGGAAGAACACCAGUGGCGAAGGCGGAUGACUGGACGAUAACUGACGGUGAGGCGCGAAAGCGUGGGGAGCAAACAGGAUUAGAUACCCCGGUAGCU